AACGAACGCUGGCGGCAUGCCUAACACAUGCAAGUCGAACGAGACCUUCGGGUCUAGUGGCGCACGGGUGCGUAACGCGUGGGAACCUGCCCUUAGGUUCGGAAUAACUCCCCGAAAGGGGUGCUAAUACCGGAUAAUGUCUUCGGACCAAAGAUUUAUCGCCUUUGGAUGGGCCCGCGUUGGAUUAGCUAGUUGGUAGGGUAAAAGCCUACAAGGCGACGAUCCAUAGCUGGUCUGAGAGGAUGAUCAGCCACACUGGGACGGAGACACGGCCCAGACUCCUACGGGAGGCAGCAGUGGGGAAUAUUGGACAAUGGGCGAAAGCCUGAUCCAGCAAUGCCGCGUGAGUGAUGAAGGCCUUAGGGUUGUAAAGCUCUUUUACCCGGGAUGAUAUGACAGUACCGGGAGAAUAAGCUCCGGCUAACUCCGUG
rnacentral:rRNA from 1 species